rfam:Bifidobacterium asteroides PRL2011, complete genome.
UUGGGUGGUCGGUAGGUGAAGCUACCGCAUGGACAAGGCAUGCUGCCGCAAAGUGGUGGAGACACCCCGCGCAGGUCAACAGUCCCCGUCGGGUCAAGGCAGGGACUAAUGCAGGGCCAAAUACCAUGCGAAGCCGAAGCUUGAACGAUGACAAUGGUC